rnacentral:rRNA from 1 species
AGUGAACGCUGGCGGCAGGCCUAAUACAUGCAAGUCGAACGGCAGCACAGUGGAUCUUGCUCCAUGGGUGGCGAGUGGCGGACGGGUGAGGAAUACAUGGGAAUCUGCCCAGUCGUGGGGGAUAACGUAGGGAAACUUACGCUACUACCGCAUGCGCCCUUCGGGGGGAAGCCGGGGACCUUCUGGCCUGGCGCGAUUGGAUGAGCCCAUGUUCGAUUAGCUAGUUGGCGGGGUAAAGUCCCACCAAGGCGACGAUCGAUUGCUGAUCUGAGAGGAUGAUAGGCGACACGAGGACUGAGACACGGCCCAGAGUCCUAAGGGAGGUACCAGUAGGGAACGUGGGGCAGUGGGGGCAAGCAUGAUCCAGCGAGGCCGCGUGAGAGAAGGAGGCCCUCGGGUUGUAAAGAUCUUUUGUCGGGGAAGAAAAGCAUCGGGCUAAUACGUAGGUGUUCUGACGGUAACGGGAGAAUAAGCACCGGCUAACUUCGUG